rnacentral:lncRNA from 1 species
CUCUCUCCUAUAUAUAUAUAUAUAUAUAUAUAGGGUCCGGCUACUAUACUAUUGUGAGUACGAUCGCCCUCGUACUCAUAAGUUGUUUUCGAUGAUAGAGCUUCCGAAUCGACGAUCCACACCGUUAAACGUUAUGUACAGUAUUUAAAACUUCUAGAAAUCAAAUUUUAUAAUUUUUCGACAUCAUUUACCUUACGAUCAAGAGGUCACAAAUUUGACAAUUUUUAACGGCCGGUAUGGGAUACUUGCUAGUUUAACAGUGUAAAAGAAUCGAAAUUUGUUGAAUUUUUGAUAGAAAAUUCUAUUCACUACAUAGAUAAAGAUUAAUAACUCCGAUCUUGAAUUGAAGAAUCCAAUCAUCCUUUUUUAGGACGUCGUUCGAUUUUGACCGUUCAUUAUAUGCCCACUUGAUGGACUUAAUUAUGAUUUCGAAAAUUUACGAAAUUUAUUUUCUAGAAGUUUCAAAUAUUCUAAAUCAUAUUUAACGGAGUGGAUCGUCGAUUCGGAAGCUCCAUCAUUAAAAACAACUUAUGAGUACGAGGGCUCCAAUACUCAUAAUAGUAUAGUAGUCAUGGCCAUAUAUAUGCCACUUGAUGGACUUAAUUAUGAUUUCGAAAAUUUACGAAAUUUAUUUUCUAGAAAUUUUAAAUACUCUAAAUCAUAUUUAACGGAGUGGAUCGUCGAUUCGGAAGCUCCAUCAUUGAAAACAACUUAUGAGUACGAGGGCUCCAAUACUCAUAAUAGUAUAGUAGCCAUGGCCAUAUAUAUGUAUACUUGAUGGACUUAAUUAUGAUUUCGAAAAUUUACGAAAUUUAUUUUCUAGAAGUUUCAAAUAUUCUAAAUCAUAUUUAACGGAGUGGAUCGUCGAUUCGGAAGCUCCAUCAUUAAAAACAACUUAUGAGUACGAGGGCUCCAAUACUCAUAAUAGUAUAGUAGUCAUGGCCAUAUAUAUGCCACUUGAUGGACUUAAUUAUGAUUUCGAAAAUUUACGAAAUUUAUUUUCUAGAAAUUUUAAAUACUCUAAAUCAUAUUUAACGGAGUGGAUCGUCGAUUCGGAAGCUCCAUCAUUGAAAACAACUUAUGAGUACGAGGGCUCCAAUACUCAUAAUAGUAUAGUAGCCACGGCCUAUAUAUGUAUAUGUAUGUAUAUAUAUAUAUAUAUGUAUAUGUAUGUAUAUAUAUAUGUAGGGUCCGGCUACUAUACUAUUAUGAGUACGAUCGCUCUCGUACUUA